GCAUACAAGAUGAAAGUGAGAGAUCUUAUGUGGGAAACUUUAUCAAGAAAAAUGUUGGUUCUGGUCAAAAGGGAUAACAAGGACUUGCCUAAUCCUAUGGGUUCAGAUCCAAUUCAAAAAAAAAAUCAAAAGAAAAAGAAAAAAAAGAAGAAAAAUCAAAAUCAAAAUAAAAAUAAAAAAUGAUAUAAAAAGAGGGAAAAAAGAAAGAGAAAAAGAAAAUGAGAGGUCAAGGCGACAACCCGCA
rnacentral:lncRNA from 1 species